CUGGUAUCUUCUGAGUCCUCUUUAGCAAAUAAAAGUCCUCAUGGAGUCCUCCCUUUUGCCUUUACCUCGCCCAACUCCAUAGUUUAUAACCAAUCACUCCUCACAACCCCAGUGCAGCUCUCUCUGCCCACGGGUCCCGUCCCCGUGCUUUAAGAAAAUCACCUUUUUGCACCAAAGCCGUCUUCCAGAAUUCUUUCUUGGCCGUCAGCUCUGGACAUCCACCACUCCAAACCUCCAUCAGUUGGAUCCCAACCUUGGGCAAGUUACUUGAUAUUUCUGUUGCCCAGGAGGUGACCACAUCAGCAGGGUGGAGUCCUUGCAAAGAGGAUUAGGGCCCAUGGAAAAGGGACCCAGGAGAGCUCUCUUGCGCUCUUUCCACAGGAAGAAGCCAGCAGCCUGCAACCCCGGGAGAGGUUCCUCGCCAGAAUCCGGCCUUGCUGACGCCUGAUCGCGGACUUCCAGGCAGACACCAGCGCCGUGGGGAACAUGGAUAUGUUGUCUACCAGCCCCCUACUCUGUGGCACUUUGUUACAGCAGCCGGGACCGACCGCCAAUGAACAUCCGCCCUACACGUCCUGUGUUACUUGGUCCAGAGUCAAGGGCACUCGUUUACAGCUGCCCUCCUGCCAGAUUUGAGCAGCCUCUACACCACCUCCGUGCUGUCGCUUUGUCCCCACCUCCCAGCCGGGUAAAAUCCCAGCCGGGGCUCCGGGCUUCAACGCCUGGAGAGCUCUGGACCUCCAUGUUUUCAAAUUUACAAGUAGUUUUGAAUUUUCUGUGGCAGGUCCUCAGGGGCUCGGGAGGGGCGGUGGAGUCCAGGGUUGUGGUUUCUUCAGGGAGCUGUGACGUCCGUCUUCUACCCCCCGAGGGGCCACCCAGAUGGCGUGUAGCAGUCGUGGGGUGGAUGGCGGGGUGAGGCUCGGAAGCACCCCGACUCCCGCCCGGAAGCACCCCGACUCCUGCCCGGAAGCAGCCCGGAGGCCAGCUUGCAUACCUGGUAGAGCCUCGAGUUCAAAAAGCAAAAAACAAAACAAAACAAAACAAAAACAAAGCAAAACAAAACAAACCUUUCCCUUUCUUUUAAAAAAUUUUUUUUUUCAACGUUUUAUUUAUUUUUGUGACAGAGAGAGACAGAGCAUGAAGGGGGGAGG
rnacentral:lncRNA from 1 species